UAGAACAACGAUAACAAAUAGUAGUGCAGGAGUCAUAAACUAUGAGUAAUAUGUGUGUGGAACUCUGAGCAUCAA
rnacentral:snoRNA from 10 species